UACAGAGGUCCCAAGCGUUGUUCGGAUUCAUUGGGCGUAAAGGGUGCGUAGGUGGCGCGCUAAGUCAGGUGUGAAAUUUCGGAGCUUAACUCCGAAACUGCAUUUGAUACUGGCGUGCUUGAGGACUGGAGAGGAGACUGGAAUUUACGGUGUAGCAGUGAAAUGCGUAGAGAUCGUAAGGAAGACCAGUGGCGAAGGCGGGUCUCUGGGCAUUUCCUGACGCUGAGGCGCGAAAGCGUGGGGAGCAAACGGG
rnacentral:rRNA from 1 species